GUGAAGAAUAUUGGUCAAUGGGCGAGAGCCUGAACCAGCCAAGUCGCGUGAAGGAAGAAGGAUCUAUGGUUCGUAAACUUCUUUUGCAGGGGAAUAAAGUGCGGGACGUGUCCUGUUUUGUAUGUACCCUGAGAAUAAGGAUCGGCUAACUCCGUGCCAGCAGCCGCGGUAAUACGGAGGAUCCGAGCGUUAUCCGGAUUUAUUGGGUUUAAAGGGUGCGUAGGUGGUUUGAUAAGUCAGCGGUGAAAGUUUGCAGCUUAACUGUAAAAAUGCCGUUGAAACUGUCGGACUUGAGUGUAAAUGAGGUAGGCGGAAUGCGUGGUGUAGCGGUGAAAUGCAUAGAUAUCACGCAGAACUCCGAUUGCGAAGGCAGCUUACUAAGCUACAACUGACACUGAAGCACGAAAGCGUGGGGAUCAAACAGGAUUAGAAACCCGUGUAGUCC
rnacentral:rRNA from 1 species